CUGACGCUAAAGCUCGAAGGUGCGGGUAUCGAACAGGAUUAGAUACCCUGGUAGUCCGCACGGUAAACGAUGGAUGCCCGCUGUUGGCGAUACAAUGUCAGCGGCCAAGCGAAAGCGUUAAGCAUCCCACCUGGGGAGUACGCCGGCAACGGUGAAACUCAAAGGAAUUGACGGGGGCCCGCACAAGCGGAGGAACAUGUGGUUUAAUUCGAUGAUACGCGAGGAACCUUACCCGGGCUUGAACUGCAGCAGAACGAUUCAGAGAUGAAGAGGCCCUUCGGGGCUGCUGUGGAGGUGCUGCAUGGUUGUCGUCAGCUCGUGCCGUGAGGUGUCGGCUUAAGUGCCAUAACGAGCGCAACCCCUUUCAUUAGUUGCCAUCAGGUAAUGCUGGGCACUCUGGUGAUACUGCCACCGUAAGGUGUGAGGAAGGUGGGGAUGACGUCAAAUCAGCACGGCCCUUACGUCCGGGGCUACACACGUGUUACAAUGGGUGGUACAGAGAGUCAGUGGGUCGCAAGUCCCAUUCAAUCAUGAAAGCCAUCCUCAGUUCGGAUUGGGGUCUGCAACCCGACCCCAUGAAGCUGGAUUCGCUAGUAAUCGC
rnacentral:rRNA from 1 species